CCAACUACGUGCCAGCAGCCGCGGUAAUACGUAGGGGGCAAGCGUUGUCCGGAUUCAUUGGGCGUAAAGAGCUCGUAGGCGGCUCGGUAAGUCGGCCGUGAAAUCCCGGGGCUCAACUCCGGGAGGCCGGUCGAUACUGCCGUGGCUAGGGUCCGGUAGAGGAGAGUGGAAUUCCCGGUGUAGCGGUGAAAUGCGCAGAUAUCGGGAGGAACACCCGUAGCGAAGGCGGCUCUCUGGGCCGGCACCGACGCUGAGGAGCGAAAGCUAGGGGAGCAAACAGGAUUAGAUACCCCUGUAGUC
rnacentral:rRNA from 1 species